GGGGUUGUGGCUCAGUGGUAGAGCACUCACCUAGCAUGUGCAAAGCCCUGGGUUCGAUCCUCAGCACCACA
rnacentral:tRNA from 1 species